ACCGAAAUAGCUCAUUGGGAGAGCGUUAGACUACAGAUCGAAAGGUCUCUGGUUCGAUCCCGGGAUUCGGCA
rnacentral:tRNA from 1 species